GGAUUGCAGGCUGCAACCCGCCUGCAUGAAGCCGGAAUCGCUAGUAAUCGCAGAUCAGAAUGCUGCGGUGAAUACGUUCCCGGGUCUUGUACACACCGCCCGUCACACCAUGGGAGUCGAUAACGCCCGAAGUCAGUGACCCAACCGAGAGGAGGGAGCUGCCGAAGGCGGGAUGGAUAACUGGGGUGAAGUCGUAACAAGGUACC
rnacentral:rRNA from 1 species